UACGUAGGGUGCGAGCGUUGUCCGGAAUUAUUGGGCGUAAAGAGCUCGUAGGCGGUCUGUCGCGUCUGCUGUGAAAACCCGAGGCUCGAACCUCGGGCCUGCAGUGGGUACGGGCAGACUAGAGUGCGGUAGGGGAGAAUGGAAUUCCUGGUGUAGCGGUGGAAUGCGCAGGAUAUCAGGAGGAACACCAAUGGCGAAGGCAGUUCUCUGGGCCGGUAAACUGGACGCUGGAGGAGCGAAAGCGUGGGGAGCGAACAGG
rnacentral:rRNA from 1 species